GCAAACCACAAAACACAGUCCAGUGAACAAAGAGACAAAGGGAGAUCUUUCCAGAGCCUCGGCGCAACGGCCUGGAAAGAGUGAUCUCCUCGGGUCUUAAAGUGGGUACGAGGGACCCUCAGAAGGUUCUGAUCCACUGACCACAGGCUCUGAGCAGGAGUGUAGAGACAUACGUAACAGGUCUCUAAUGUAGGAGGGAGCCUGGCCAUGCAAAUCUCUAAAAGUCAACACCAGGAUUUGAAAAUGUAAAUGAAACGACACUGGGAGCCAAUGACAGGACUCUAAAAUAGGAGAAAUAUGAGUCCUUCUGUUUGAGCAAGACAGCAGCCUUGCUGCAGAAUUUUGGACCUGCUGCAGAAGGGACAGCUCCUUUUUGUUUAGACAGCAAAACUGUUGCAGUAGUCCAAAGGAGAAGAUACAAAAGCAUGAAUAAUCAACUCAAGAUCAUCUUUUGAAACAACUGAUCUGAGUUUGAAAAUCUUCCUCAACUGGUAGAAACAGUUUUUGAGUUUUUGGUUAGCUGCAUGGAAUGAUGCCCAAAUGACAUUUCUUUAUCAAAGAUAACACCUCGAUUUCUCAGGCUAGAUUUUGCAGAUGAGCUCAAAAGACCUAAAUACUGUUUAAUCCCCGGAAUAACAUCAUCGGGGCAACCACCAGCACCUCGGGUUUAUCCGAAUUUAACUGCAGGGAAUUUGCACUGAGCCAUUGUUUUAUUUUCUCAAGGUAGUUCAGUAAAGAGUCCAAUUUCUGGAUCUCAGAGGCUUUAAAUCAUGUACUUUGUUAUUUACAGAUAACCCUGAGAUCAGCUGCUGUGGGGGUGAUGUUUGCCAACCUGGACUUGAACUGGUCUAAGGCCGCAUCAGAAGCAUCAUCAUCUGAUAGAGUUUUCCAGAACCAUAUAGCGUUUGGAAAGAAUGGGUGUUUGGUCACUGUAAUAGGGUACACACAACUCUCCUAAAUUUCCUUUAGUUCUGAUGUUCAAUUUGGUGAGAUAGUACUCUACAUCAGAGAUUCUCAAACUGUGGACACUGAAGAUACUGCAUG